rnacentral:rRNA from 1 species
GAUGAACGCUGGCGGCGUGCCUAAUACAUGCAAGUCGAGCGAACAGACGAGGAGCUUGCUCCUCUGACGUUAGCGGCGGACGGGUGAGUAACACGUGGAUAACCUACCUAUAAGACUGGGAUAACUUCGGGAAACCGGAGCUAAUACCGGAUAAUAUAUUGAACCGCAUGGUUCAAUAGUGAAAGACGGUUUUGCUGUCACUUAUAGAUGGAUCCGCGCCGCAUUAGCUAGUUGGUAAGGUAACGGCUUACCAAGGCAACGAUGCGUAGCCGACCUGAGAGGGUGAUCGGCCACACUGGAACUGAGACACGGUCCAGACUCCUACGGGAGACAGCAGUAGGGAAUCUUCCGCAAUGGGCGAAAGCCUGACGGAGCAACGCCGCGUGAGUGAUGAAGGUCGUCGGAUCGUAAAACUCUGUUAUUAGGGAAGAACAAAUGUGUAAGUAACUAUGCACGUCUUGACGGUACCUAAUCAGAAAGCCACGGCUAACUACG